rnacentral:rRNA from 1 species
AAGACCUUGCACUUUUGGAGCGGCCGAUGUCUGAUUAGCUAGUUGGUAGGGUAAUGGCCUACCAAAGCUUCGAUCAGUAGCUGGUCUGAGAGGACGGCCAGCCACACUGGGACUGAGACACGGCCCAGACUCCUACGGGAGGCAGCAGUGGGGAAUUUUGGACAAUGGGCGCAAGCCUGAUCCAGCCAUGCCGCGUGAGUGAAGAAGGCCUUCGGGUUGUAAAGCUCUUUCAGCCGGGAAGAAAAGGUUGCGAUUAAUAAUCGCAAUUUAUGACGGUACCGGAAGAAGAAGCACCGGCUAACUACGUGCCAGCAGCCGCGGUAAUACGUAGGGUGCGAGCGUUAAUCGGAAUUACUGGGCGUAAAGGGUGCGCAGGCGGUUUUGUAAGUCAGAUGUGAAAUCCCCGGGCUUAACCUGGGAACC